rnacentral:rRNA from 1 species
UACCAGCACCCCGAGUGGUCGGGACGAUUAUUGGGCCUAAAGCAUCCGUAGCCGGUCAUGCAAGUCUUCCGUUAAAUCCAGCCGCUCAACGGUUGGGCUGCGGAGGAUACUACGUGGCUAGGAGGCGGGAGAGGCAAGCGGUACUCAGUGGGUAGGGGUAAAAUCCUCUGAUCCAUUGAAGACCACCAGUGGCGAAGGCGGCUUGCCAAUACGCGCUCGACGGUGAGGGAUGAAAGCUGGGGGAGCAAACCGG